GGCCUCUCAGAUUAUACCCAACUUCAUCAACCUUCUCUCUAGCUGCUAAAAGCAGCUUGAGUGAUAACAGCUCCUAUGAGAAACAACAUGAAUAAGCUAGAGGAUCAGAAACACCAUUCUAGUAGUAGUGAUGUCAGUCCACUUAGUGAUCUUUGGACUGAUGGACUCAUUUGUGCAUUUGAAUUUGUUCGAGGGGAUAAAAAGGUGCUGGCAGCUCAUUAUGUUGUAAAAGAUGCAGCAAACAAGCAAGUUCUGUCACCUGAGCGGACUGAAUCCCAUCACUCAAGAAAGAAUGUAAAACACUCAUGUGAAUCCUCACCGAAAAGUGGUUCAGGAGUUGGUCAGAAUCGAAAGGAAGAAGGCCUUAACUACAAACAGAAUUCUCACUCGGGCCAUUUCCGUGGGAGAGAAGGUCCUCCCAAAAGUUGUUGGGUACCGAUUGGCUGGGAUAGGAUUUCUGAACUUUUCCAGACAGUGCACGUUGAUGAUGGCUGGGACUUGCAGCCUAUGGAGUUUGCAAGCGAUGAUGAUGAUGUCGCUGUAGCAGAUGUGGCAGCUCCUUACUGGGAGAAACCGGUAGGGCCCACUUGGUGGUGUCACGUAGCUGCUGAUCAUCCAUGCAUCAAUUCAUGGGUGAGUACUGCUCAAUGGCUGCAUCCUGCUGUCAGCAUUGCGUUGCGAGAUGAAAGUAGGUUGAUAAGUGAUCUGAUGAAGCACCUUCUGUAUGAGGUUCCUGUAAGGGUUGCUAGUGGACUAUUAUUUGAGCUCCUGGGCCAGUCAGUAGGUGAUCCAUUUGCUGAUGAAGAUGACAUUCCCAUUGUUCUUAGAUCAUGGCAGGCACAGAAUUUUCUAGUAUCAGCAUUGCAUGUGAAAAGUUCUGCACAGAACAUUAAUGUGUUGGGAAUAGCAGAAGUCCAGGAGCUGCUUGCUGCUGAGGGCAUUACCAUGCCACGUACUAUUCAUGAAGUUAUAGCACAUUUAGCCUGCCGCCUAGCAUGCUGGGAUGAUAGGUUAUUUCGCAAAUCUGUAUUUUGGGCGGCAGAUGAAGUUGUACUGAAGUUUAUGAACAGGAGGAGCCAUGAAGAUAUGCACCUGUUCAGUAUAAUUUUGAACCAAGAAUUCCGAAGGUUAUCAACCCAGGUUAUAAGAGUGAAGUGGUUGCUACAUGCAAGAGAAGAAAUUGUUUUUGAGCUUCUUCGGCACUUGAGAGGGGAUGCCACAAGGCAGUUGCUAGAACAACUAAGAAAGAAUACAAGGGGGUCGAUUGAAGAGCAAGAAGCAGUUUUUGGUCGCUUGUUUACCAUUCAAAAUAUGAUGCAGAGCACUGUUUAUGCAUGGUUACAGGACAAAAGCCUAACAGUUCAACAUAAUCUGGGAGUUUUUGGCGGUUGUGGCCUUGUCCUAUCUAUUAUUACGGGACUUUUGGGAUCAAUGUAGAUGGCAUACCCGGAGCUGCAGAAACACCAUAUGCAUUUGGUCUAUUUUCUGCCGCUCUGGUCUUCUUGGGGGUUUUACUAAUUGGAAUUGGAUUGGCUUAUCUUGGGUUGAAGAAACCCAUUGUUGAGGAGGAUGCUGAAGUAAGAAAACUAGAGCUCCAAGAGCUGGUUAAAGUUGUUUCGGCAGGAAGCAGAAUCUCCCAGAACCAACCCAACUGCUGCUGCACGAUUCCUGAAUGGUGCAGGUUAUGCUCUCAUCAGUUGAACUACUAG